rnacentral:tmRNA from 1 species
GGGGGCGAAUGGAUUCGACGGGAUUGAAGAAUCGUUGAAUUGCGUGUCGUGGUUUUCAGGAGGGCCACGUUAAUAAACCUGAACAACCUUAAAUGCCAAUUCGUAUGGCAACGUUGCUUACGCUUAGUUAAGCAACCGUUCUCUUCCGACUUUGUCUGUUGGUUGGUUGAGGGCGUCGAUUUAACAGACUGGCUCAACACUUCUGCCCGCGGGUGUUGAAUAAGACUUCAGCGGACUGGUAUUAUCGGAAGUUUGUCUGUUGUCCACGAUAAUAUGAGACUUUUCAACAGACUACACACGUAGUGGUUCAAUGUUUCUCUUUUUCGGACGGGAGUUCGAUUCUCCCCGCCUCCACGC